AGGUUAUAUGGAAGGGAAUUGCUUUGGAACUCCCCCAGAUGGCUUCCCCCCCAGAACGUUGUUACUAAGUCAGAAGUGGCUGUUACUGCUAUCUUAAGUCAUAUUUAAUGUGUCCUAGCCCAAAUUGCUGAAGAACCAGAAGCAAACCAGGUCUAAGUGUCUAGUUCAGCAGGACAAAUGGGUGCAAGGGAAUUGCCGCAAGUCUCUUUCAGAAAUAAAUGCACAGCUCUGGAUCAUUUCUCUAAAUUCUCUGUCCUUUGCCACUCUUUCAAUGCUGGGAAGGUAAUAAAAAGGCUUCUGCUGAUUCCAGCAGAAUCAAAUAAGAAAUAAAACUUAAGCUUAACUUCUGAGACGGGACAAUGGCCUGCUCUUGAAAACCGCUUGGAAAAUUGCAGGCAAGACCUUGAGUACCAGGUUGAGCACUGAAAAAGCUGCUGAAAACAAAAUAGGAAUAGUAAAAAAAGUUUGAAAGUAUUUCCAUAAUGUGAGAUUUCAUACAGAUAUUUUACUCUGUUGUUUACUUACUUUACUUUGCCUUGCAUGGGUUUGGGGAAUCCAUCAUUUUUGCUUUCCUUUAGAUUUGUAGUAGUGCAAAAGAUUUUGGCAUUUAACCUUGGAAAAGUAACUUUUAAGUUGACAUUUCGCACACUUGAGUCUGCCAGCUGAAGUAUAGCAGUGAUUGUAUCUUUUGCCUAAAGGAGAAGGGAUCCGAGCAGCAGAUAAACCAUCGCACGUGGAUCCGUGUCAUACUGUAAGUGUAGUCACAGCUUUUAUCAAGAUGCAUUUGGACAGAAACAUGCAGUGAUGUUUAUGUUCUUUUCUAGCUGAUACAGGCUCAUGCAUAAGAGGACAUGGUAUUCAAGAGGCAUUGAUCUGGCAGGAGCUUCCUUGGUGGCAGAGAGACUCCCUAAGGCCCAUGUGUCUGAGUACCCGUUUGUGUCUGAGUACCCGUUUGUAUGCUACCUUUGAGUGGCCCUUUGAAGAAGCAGGCAGAGAUCAGAGUGUUUGGUGAUCCUCAUUUGAAGCCCACCGAAGGAUAAAUUUAAGCAGGAUGUAUAGGGGCAGGUCACGGUCUGGGAAGGACCCAAAGACUGACUGCAAAGACCCAGUUCAGGAAGGCCGUUUCCAUAGACACAGGGGACAUCUUUGGAACUAGCAGAGGCAGGGAAGCAAAAGAAUGGGACUUGAUUUUUUAAGUAAGUUAUUCGUAAGGAUAAAUAUUAUAACUAUGAUUAGGGACCCAUUCAAAUCUUUGUAAAUUGUUUUCAAACUACCUGUUCCUGCCUGGGAAAUACAGUGAAAUAAUAUGAAAUUGAA